rnacentral:rRNA from 1 species
GCACCCAGAAACCCUUUGUGAACUUAUACCUUACUGUUGCCUCGGCGCAGGCCGGCCCCUCCACUGGGGCCCCUCUGAGAGGAGGAGCAGCCCGCCGGCGGCCAACUAAACUCUUGUUUCUUAGUGAAUCUCUGAGUAAAAAAACAUAAUGAAUCAAAACUUUCAACAACGGAUCUCUUGGUUCUGGCAUCGAUGAAGAACGCAGCGAAAUGCGAUAAGUAAUGUGAAUUGCAGAAUUCAGUGAAUCAUCGAAUCUUUGAACGCACAUUGCGCCCUCUGGUAUUCCGGAGGGCAUGCCUGUUCGAGCGUCAUUUCAACCCUCAAGCACUGCUUGGUGUUGGGGCACCGCCUGUAAAAGGGCGGGCCCUGAAAUCUAGUGGCGAGCUCGCCAGGACCCCGAGCGUAGUAGUUAUAUCUCGUUCUGGAAGGCCCUGGCGGUGCCCUGCCGUUAAACCCCCAACUUCUGAAAUUUUGACCUCGGAUCAG